AAAAAGAACAUUUCCUCAAUUUCUAUUUUAUUUAAUAUCUUUUGGGGAAAAAAAAUACACUUUUUUUUUUUUUCCCAGUUCUUUGUUUUGUAAGAAUAAUUUCUCGACAAAAAAUCCGAUGCGCCACUCGUUUCUCCGAUCAGGACUUUGUUAAUGGGUGCCCCUAAGCAGAAAUGGACAGCAGAAGAAGAAGCGGCCCUCAAGGCAGGAGUUCUUAAGCAUGGUACUGGUAAAUGGCGCAAUAUACUUUCAGAUCCUGAGUUUAGUUCUGUCUUGCGUUCACGCUCAAAUGUGGAUCUCAAGGAUAAAUGGAGAAAUAUAAAUGCAACCGCCAUAUGGGGUUCAAGGCAGAAGGCCAAGCUUGCCUUUAAAAGAAAUCAGUUGGCUGCUAAACAUGAUGAUAACCCCAUGGCUCUAAUCACUGUACCUCCAAGAGAAGAAGUCGUUGAUGCUAAGCCCCUUGCAGUUUCUAGUGGAACACCAAGGGCAACUGGUUCCAAGAAACUGAUUUCAAGGUUAUCUAUUACGUAUAUUCUUAUGUGGUUGGACAAUAUUUUACUGGAGGCUAUCACUAGUUUGAAAGAGCCAGCCGGGUCUGACAGAGCUUCAAUUGCUGUAUACAUAGAGGAGAAAUAUGCUACUCCACCAAACCUCAAGAAGCUAUUGGCAACUAAAUUAAAGCUGUUGGUAGCAAAUGGGACAUUGAUAAAGGUAAAGCACAAGUACAAGGUUGCACCGCGUUCAACUAUUUCCGAAGCAAGAAAAUCUCCUCUGCUUCUUUUGGAAGGAAGGCCAAAGGAAUCUUCAAAAGCAAAGAAGAAAGGCAUCAACAUUCUUACUAAAACCCAAGUUAAUGCAGAUUUGUUGAAAAUGAGGAGCAUGACUGCAGAAGAGGCUGCUGCAGCUGCUGCACAAGCAGUUGCAGAGGCAGAAGUUGCAAUUGCCGAGGCUGAAAAGGCAGCAAGAGAGGCAGAUGUGGCAGAAGCUGAAGCAGAAGCGGCAAAAAUUUUUGCUAAAGCAGCAGAGAAAGCAUUGAAGUCUAGGAUGCUAUAGACCUGGUUUUCUCAGUGGAUGCUCGAGUUGGUUGUUUAAGAGGGAUAAACGUGAUAUUUACCCCCUGCAGCUCUGCCAAUCAACAAACCUUCAUUGCAACAACUCCACACCCGUUGAACAAAUUUCAUUUCACUUAUUUCUAUGGCAUAAAUGGAAACCUACCAUUUGGUCUUUAGCUCAUUGCUGGAACAAUGCAUCAGACUCCGACAUCAUGCUGGCCUGGUAUACCAACCGCGAUCAUGUCUAUAACUGUAAAUAUAUUAGGCUUGUAAAGAAGAAAAUGUGAGAUAAAUCGGUCCAUCAAGUGCUUCUUUUUGUACGAACAUUUGGUAAAGGAGGUUAGAGGUGUUAGUGAUUCUAUAACUUUAUCAUGAAGUAAAAGGGUACAGAUAUAGCAAAAAGAAAUAGAGAAAGGCAUUCAUGAUGGCACGCUUUGAGAUA